rnacentral:tRNA from 3 species
GGGGCCGUGCCUGAAACAAAGGGCCACUAUGAUACAGUGUAACAUGGGGGUUAAAGUCCCCCCGACCCCA